AUUUGUUUUAAACCGCUGUAAUAGAAAACAAACCUUUGAAGAUAUUGUCUUUCCUUUUCUCACUCAUAAUAAAUUCUUCCGAUUGAUCUUCGUUAAUUUUUAUAUUAUCUUGGAUCUAAAGGUUGGAUUGAAUUUCAAAAGAAGUAACAUUUCUCAUGAAAUAAAUUAGUAAGACGUCGUUAACUAAUUUAACUCAACGACGUUUUCUAAUGAGGGAUCAUAUCGUAUUUAAAAUACUUUAGGUUUUGGAACAUAAUUUUUCAAGAAAUUUAUUAAUUCAAUUCCAAUUUAUAUGUACUUUAUACGUAUCGAAAAAAUAAUUAAUUUUAAAAAAGUCGACUAAAACAGCGCCAUGACACAAUAAAACGCCCGCAGUGCAAGUUUAUUACAAACGUAAAAAAAUUUUCUAUGUCAAUCUUUAAUAAGUACAAAAAUGAUAAUCUUUUUAUUAAUACAUUCUUAUUAUUAAACAGUGCUCAUUUAAGCUUACGUUUGAAGAGCUUUUGAUUUUGGGCAAAAGUAAAUAGAAUUGAUUGUAAUAUCUGAUAUAAAUCUCUUGUAUAUAAAAUGGAAUAAAAACUGCUUUUAUUUAGACGAAAAUGAAUCCUUUUGUGAUGGCAAAAGCAUAAAAACGACAUGUAUAUUCAAUCCAUCUGUUGUAAACUCUUAUUAUUACUAUACUAAAAUUACACUACAUAGAUAUACUAAGACUAGACCGACUGGACUAGAAACUAAAACCAGUGGUGAAACGGUAAAAUCACAUGAAAUGUCAAAAUUGUAAUGACAUUUUAACAAGCAGAGAGAAAUUUGAACAAUUCUCUAUCCAAAUCGUUCUUGCAGGAACGGAUCUGAAAUAAUUUCUGCUUUUCACCUCUCCUAAAAGCCUCGUGGCCCCUCUAAAGCUGUCCUAGGGCUAGAUGAAACGUCCUUGGCAGGCCAAUAGAAAAUGACGUCAACCUUGAGAAAAAUCAUCUAUUCAAGCCUUCUAGACACGAGAAUCGCCAAUCCCAAACUGCAGAUGAAAAAUUAUAUAACACGGUGACGUGCCUCUACCCAUUACACAUAAUAGUUUUAUAUGUAAUAAUGCAUUAAGAUGUAAUAAAUUGUUAGUUAAAUUUUAAUCUAUAACUAAAUGAAAACC